GUGGGGAAUCUUAGACAAUGGGGGAAACCCUGAUCUAGCCAUGCCGCGUGAGCGAUGAAGGCCUUAGGGUUGUAAAGCUCUUUCAGCUGGGAAGAUAAUGACGGUACCAGCAGAAGAAGCCCCGGCUAACUCCGUGCCAGCAGCCGCGGUAAUACGGAGGGGGCUAGCGUUGUUCGGAAUUACUGGGCGUAAAGCGCGCGUAGGCGGACCAGAAAGUUGGAGGUGAAAUCCCAGGGCUCAACCUUGGAACUGCCUUCAAAACUCCUGGUCUGGAGUUCGAGAGAGUUGGGUGGAAUUCCGAGUGUAGAGGUGAAAUUCGUAGAUAUUCGGAGGAACACCAGUGGCGAAGGCGGCUCACUGGCUCGAUACUGACGCUGAGGUGCGAAAGCGUGGGGAGCAAACAGGAUUAGAUACCCGGGUAGUCC
rnacentral:rRNA from 1 species